UCUUGCUGUGUUGCUCAGGCCGGAGUGCACUGGUGUGGUCCCAGCUCACUGCAGCCUGGAUCUCCCAGACUCAAGCAGUCCGCCCAACUCAGUCUCCUGAGUAGCUGGGCACACAGGCAAGUGUCACCACACCUGGCCUUGCUUCCUUGACUCUUGGUUUGCCCUUUAAAUUCAAUUUAUUUAAGAGGAAGACUUUUCGCUGGAAACAGAAAACCAGCACCACUGCAGCAUUCAUUUCCUAGGGCCACCAUGACAAAUGAUCACAAACAGGGCAGUUUAAAACAAUAGAUAUUUACUCUCCCACAGUUGUGCCGGCCACGGUCUAAAAUCAAGCUGCCAGAGGGGCUGCUCCUCCUGGAGGCUUAGAGGAAGAAGCUGCCUCCUGCCUCUUUCCCGGCUCCGGUGGCUCCGGCACUUGGCGUUCCUCGCCCUGUAUCUGAGCUGAGACCGAGCUGCUGCUGGUAUCUCAGUGACCAGCGAGACCUCAAGCACGGUGGAGUAGGCGGCAGUGCUGGCUUUGGAGUUGCUGACGAGAAACAGGGUCUCACUCUGUCACCCAGGCUGGAGUGCAGUGUUGCCAUCAAAGCUCACUGCAGCCUUGAACUCCCAGGCUCAAGCCAUCCUAUCCCCUCAGCCUCCCGAGCAGCUGGGACUACAGGCGUGUGCCAGCACACCUGCACUAGCUCCUGGGCCAGGCUGGGCGUGGCGUAGAUGGAAGAUGAUAAAGAAGCCAGCUAGAGAGGCAGGAACGCAGCAUGAUGGUGCCAUACCCAGAGGGCGUGCCUGGGCAUCCCCCAGAGGCCUUCAAAGCUGCACUGGAGAGCUUGGCUGAGAGACAAAUGGCAAUGGCACACGGAAGUGUUUUAGGCAAAGAAAUGGCAUGGCUGGAUGUGGCUGGCAAGAUGACUGGAGCUGCAGAUGGAGUCUGUCUCUGUCGGCUAGGCUGGAGUGUAGUGGCAUGAUUUCGGCUCACUGCAACCUCCAUCUCCCAGGUUCAAGUGAUUCUCCUGCCUCAGCCUCCUGAGUAGCUGGGAUUACAGGCAAGUACCACCACCACUGGCUAGUUUUUUGUGUUUUUAGUAGAGAUAGGGGUUCAUCAUGUUGGCCAGGCUGGUCUUGAACUCUUGACCUCAGAUGAUCCACCUGCCUCAGUCUCUCAAAGUGCUGGGAUUACAGGUGUGAGCCAUGGUGCCUGGCCCAUCUGCAUCAUAACUUUUCUUCUUUCUCCUCUUCCUCUCUUCCCCUUCCUCUUCAUCCUCUUCCUCUUCUCCUUUCUCUUCAUCAUCUUCAUCAUCAGUCAUUAUCAUGAUGAUUAUCUUUUCCUCCUCCUCAUCUUCCUCCUCUUCCUCCUCCUCAUCUUUUCCUUCUUUGCCUCCCUCUUUCUGCUCCUCCUCCUCCUCUUCUUCUUCCUCUUCUUCUUCUUCUUCUUCUCCUUCUCCUUCUCCUUCUCCUUCUUCUUCUUAUUCUUCUUCUUCUUCGUCCUCCUCUUUCUCUUCCUCCUCUUCCUCCUCUUCUCCUCCUCCCUUCUUCCUUCUUCUUCCUCCUCUUCUUUUUGGAGAUAGGAUCUCACUCUGUCACCAAGGCUGGAGUACAGUGGUGCAGUCUCAGCUCCCUGUAACUGCUGUCUCCCAGGCUUAAGGGAUUCUCCCACCUCAGCCUCCCAAGUAGCUGGGAGGUGCACACCAUCACAUCUGGCUAACUUUUGUAUUUUUUUGUACAGACAGGGUCUCACCAUGUUGCCCAGGUAGGUCUCAAACUCCUGGCCUCAAGCAGUCCCACCUUGGCCUCCCAAAGUGCUGGGAUUGUAGGUGUGAGUCACCGCACUGGCCUUGUUUUAUUUUCGUUGCAUUUAUUUAGUUACCUGCUAUUUGUGGCAAGCUGGGCUGGUGUUCUGCUUGUAGAGUAUUGUGGGAUGUACUUUUAGGUUGA